GAUGAACGCUGGCGGCGUGCUUAACACAUGCAAGUCGAACGAAGCACUUGAAACGGAUUCUUCGGAUGAAGUUUCCUGUGACUGAGUGGCGGACGGGUGAGUAACGCGUGGGUAACCUGCCUCAUACAGGGGGAUAACAGUUAGAAAUGGCUGCUAAUACCGCAUAAGCGCACAGCAUCGCAUGAUGCAGUGUGAAAAACUCCGGUGGUAUGAGAUGGACCCGCGUUGGAUUAGCUAGUUGGCAGGGUAACGGCCUACCAAGGCGACGAUCCAUAGCCGGCCUGAGAGGGUGGACGGCCACAGUGGGACUGAGACACGGCCCAGACUCCUACGGGAGGCAGCAGUGGGGAAUAUUGCACAAUGGGGGAAACCCUGAUGCAGCGACGCCGCGUGAGCGAAGAAGUAUUUCGGUAUGUAAAGCUCUAUCAGCAGGGAAGAAAAUGACGGUACCUGACUAAGAAGCCCCGGCUAACUACGUGCCAGCCGCCGCCGUAA
rnacentral:rRNA from 1 species